rnacentral:rRNA from 1 species
GAGUGCGGUNGGGGAGACUGGAANNCCCGGUGUAACGGUGGAAUGUGUAGAUAUCGGGAAGAACACCAAUGGCGAAGGCAGGUCUCUGGGCCGUUACUGACGCUGAGGAGCGAAAGCGUGGGGAGCGAACAGGAUUAGAUACCCUGGUAGUNCACGCCGUAAACGGUGGACGCUGGAUGUGGGGCCCAUUCCACGGGUUCCGUGUCGGAGCUAACGCGUUAAGCGUCCCGCCUGGGGAGUACGGCCGCAAGGCUAAAACUCAAAGAAAUUGACGGGGGCCCGCACAAGCGGCGGAGCAUGCGGAUUAAUUCGAUGCAACGCGAAGAACCUUACCUGGGCUUGACAUGUUCCCGACGACUCCGGAGACGGGGUUUCCCUUCGGGGCGGGUUCACAGGUGGUGCAUGGUCGUCGUCAGCUCGUGUCGUGAGAUGUUGGGUUAAGUCCCGCAACGAGCGCAACCCUCGCCCCGUGUUGCCAGCACAUGAUGGUGGGAACUCACGGGGGACCGCCGGGGUUAACUCGGAGGAAGGUGGGGAUGACGUCAGAUCAUCAUGCCCCUUACGUCCAGGGCUUCACGCAUGCUACAAUGGCCGGUACAGCGGGAUGCGAUGCGGUGACGCGGAGCGGAUCCCUGAAAACCGGUCUCAGUUCGGAUCGGAGCCUGCAACUCGGCUCCGUGAAGGUGGAGUCGCUAGUAAUCGCGGAUCAGCAACGCCGCGGUGAAUGCGUUCCCGGGCCUUGUACACNCCNNUGG